CUCCUCCUCCUCCUCUUCUUAUUUAAUCUUACUCCAACCAACAGUUCCGUGAUGUCACUUUGAAGAGAAGCUGCACGAGCCGUGGAUCUAAAAAAAAAAGACGCGAAAAAAGUGUCGCUGCUUAACUACUGAAACUGUUCCGGGAGGAGGGAACUUGUGGCGGAAAUGCACCAACCGCCAUAAAACCUCAAAAGAGAACGAGGGAACUUUAAAAAUAGAAGAGGAAAAAAAGAAAACUACCGCGGCGUGACGUCAGACGCCGAAAAUCGCGUGCAUCAGCUCCAGUAUAAACACGCAGCAAGGCGCUCCAAGAUGGUGUGUUCGACCUGGUCCAGAUUGGUGGCCCGUCCAGAAUGGAACAACCUGCUUCCUGCUCACAGAGACCUGGUUGGACCCGCCAUAUACAAAAAAAGAUUGAACUUCAUGAAGAUCGUCAAAUAGUAGGUGUCAUGAUUUAAGUCUGGGUGGCCGCUGUGUCCCCGCUCUUUCUUGGCCGCUGUGCCUACAUCU